GGAAAGUUUCCUAGUAACAGCACAUGAGAAAGUUUCUUCAUACCGUUAGUAACAGCACAAAAUGGCAGGCUAGAUAGGUAACUUAGGCUUUAACAUUUUACCUAGGCUGUUACAAGUGUGCCUGGAGGGAAAAGCACUGCUCGCAGGUAGGACUAAAAAAACAGAAAAGGUGAAAGGUUAAGAAGUUCAACCGAUCUGGGACUUUGUCUUGUAUCUACACAAUGAAGGAGCAAGGCAUUGAAUGCAGAACAUCCUGUCUUGAAGCAAACAGGUUCUGCAAAAAGACAUCCAGAUAGGGGGUCUGUAUCCAACGGCUGAUGAGGAAAGUCCAUGGAAGCAGGCUAACCCAGAGCUCCUUUGAUGAAUGCAGUUGAAUCCAGGUUCCGGAUUUUCACGUAAAGCUGUUAGCUGAAGAAGGGUACAAGAUUCCAUUGUUCCUGUUUUCUAAACUUCUCACCAUCAGGAAACAAGUGACAACCAUAUCAUCACUAGAACUACAGACAAGUGACAGCUGUAGUGGCCGUGUAAAACUGCACUGACCUCUGAGACACAGUCCACCAAAUGCUGACAUCAGACUUCUCCAUCACCAUGGGGGAAAAAGCUGGCCACCCGAUAGGACUGGCUUUGAGAUGAAACCUCUGUGAGCAGCAGAUGCUAAUAAAUAUCGGUAUAUUCCACUACCUGAGCCCCCUUAACC